rnacentral:tRNA from 1 species
CGGAGGGGGAGCCGCCGCGGCCGCGGCGUGUCCGGCGCGGGGCCGGACACGGACACACGGAAGGGGCCGGGCUCGCAGCCCGGCCCCUUCGGC